GAGUUGGCUGCUUAGUAUGAUUAGACCCAAAAAUGCUAAGGACUCUACUUCUAAUAGUGUGGAGAACACUGAUAGCUUUGGCGUGAACCGUUUAGAAAGUGAUAGUAGCUUUUU